rnacentral:rRNA from 1 species
CUCGAGCGGUAGCACAGAGAGCUUGCUCUCGGGUGACGAGCGGCGGACGGGUGAGUAAUGUCUGGGAAACUGCCUGAUGGAGGGGGAUAACUACUGGAAACGGUAGCUAAUACCGCAUAACGUCGCAAGACCAAAGUGGGGGACCUUCGGGCCUCAUGCCAUCAGAUGUGCCCAGAUGGGAUUAGCUGGUAGGUGGGGUAACGGCUCACCUA